UCUGAAACAUCUUACUUUUCCUCUUCAUACGCAAAAUGCCUUUCUCAUAUACCCAUUCAAAUCUCAUCUCAUUCUUCAAAUCAACAUCACACGUAGCAGUUAAUAUUCCCAAGUUCCAAUUCAUCAUUCAUGGAGCAGCCAUCAUCAUUCAUCGAUUUUCCUUCAAAUUUAUUUUUUUCUCAUGAUUUGGAUCUUCUUCCCAGGGUGGUGUUAAAGGGAAGUUUGAUGAGGCGUUGAAGUAGGUGCAUGAAAUAGAGAAACAAGGACUGAUAUAUGAUCAGUAGACACAAUCUUGAUAUGCUGGCAAUCUAUGAUUCAGAUUUUUAUAAGUGCGUGAGAUAGAGAAAUGGGUUCGGAUAAGCUUGCCAGCAUCUAAGAAGGAAUUAAGUGAUACACAAUCCUGAUGUGGUGAACAUUAACAGGCCUGCAUUGGAUCAAGCUGUUGUAGUGUUGACACAUAUACGAAAAAACUUCUUCAAGAGGUAGGCUCAUAUGUUGGUGAAGUUGUCAAAGUUAUCGGCAAAAUCAAAGCAUUGGUCAACGUCAGCUAAUUUUCUGUUCUAAUUUGGAUCAGAACAAUUUACCUCACACUUCGCUGCUAUAUAUCAAUCUAUCUUUAUAAUCUGCUGAAUGUGGUGAACAUUAACAAGCAUGCAUUGGAUCAAGCAGUUAUAAUGUUGACGCAUAUACGAAAAGGUGAUUUGUUCAACCCGUGUGUAUAAUGACGUUUGAUGUUGAAUCUCUCUUCAAGAAUGCAACAGAUAUUCUUUCGAGUUCAACCAAUUGAAUAUCAUUCAAGUCUGGGAACAAUUAGACAACAUCUAAUUAUGUUCAACUAGCUUCUACAAUUAUUUGGGUUCAUAUCAUUUACCUCAAACUACUGUAGGAUGACGGAUUAGAUGCAAAGGCUAAUAAUGAUAAGGCUUAUUGGAUAUGAGAAUUGUCUAUGGCAGGGAUACAUAGUCCUUAAUAGGCCAUGAGAAUUGUAUAUGAGUGCAUGUCAUUUAGUUUCUAAUGUUAUUUAUGAAUAUUCUUGAUUUUAGGAAUUUUUUUAAUUUGAUUUGAAAAUAUAAUAGGAAUCCCUUAAGAAGAUUGCUUCUACUUUGAUGAAUGUUUCUCCCGACAAUAAAAACAAGUUCCUGAAACUGAUACAGCUUUUGGAUGGGUUCUUGAAAUGUAAUUUUCUUUCUCUUCUCUUAUUAUUUUUAACCUUUCAUAGCCUCACAACAAUUUGAUUGACUUUUUAGGCUAUUUUGAAUCAUUGGUUUAGGUAUGCUUAUGUCAUUUCUUCUGCUCUUCAUAAUAUUUUAAGGACUUUAUGAUUCAGGUUCAAUAAGGUUCUCUUUUUAGUUUUUUUUUACUGUCGUGUGUGUUAUUAACAUUUUGAUGUGCUGAGAAACUGUCAUACUUCAGUCUCAUAUCAAACAUGAUUUGAGAAGAAUAUUGCACAACUAUGUGAUAUGAGACUCAAGAUUUUUCAGUGGUUCUAUAAUCUGUAUUUUUGGUGUAGUUCCAUUUAAAGGAUUUGGUUGUUAUAGGAGUUAUUUAAACAAUUAUCACAUUUGAUUUCGUUUCCUUUUAGUUUUUUUUAUUAAAAACAGUCCUAAUUGUUAGUUAAUAUCAACAGUUUGAUUUGGUUCUCAAAGAAUCAGUUCAUUUUAAAAGCAACUGGCUCACUGAAAAGAUCCACAUGAAGUGACAUUAUGUCUGAAAUAUAUUACUUGUGCAAAAUCUUAUACAUAUAUGUUUAUAACUAUCGCUUGGUUUUAUAUCAAAACUAAUUAAUGUCCUGUGUCGAUGGUUUUCAGAACAUUGCAAAGGAUAGUGACAUCCGAGAAAACUUCAAAAGGCAAUGUCAAAUAUAAGAUGUAUACUUCUAAUGAUUCAGGAAUACUUUAAAGGUGGACUUUGCAAUGUCUGGUAGCUGCAAAUUUGCUUCAGUGUAUAUUUUUUUAGCAUCUGCAAAUUUAGUUACUUAUU